CCUACGGGAGGCAGCAGUGGGGGAUAUUGCACAAUGGGGGGAACCCUGAUGCAGCGACGCCGCGUGGGGGAAGAAGGGCCUCGGCGCGUAAAGCCCUGUCAGCAGGGAAGAAAAUGACGGUACCUGAAGAAGAAGCCCCGGCGAACUACGUGCCAGCAGCCGCGGGAAGACGUAGGGGGCAAGCGUUAGCCGGAUUUACUGGGUGUAAAGGGGGCGCAGACGGCGCGGCAAGCCAGGAGGGAACGCCCGGGGCCCAACCCCGGGACUGCUCUUGGAACUGCGUGGCUGGAGUGCAGGAGGGGCAGGCGGACUUCCUGGUGUAGCGGUGAAAUGCGUCGAUAUCAGGAGGAACACCGGUGGC
rnacentral:rRNA from 1 species